AGCACACAAACGCUAUCUUCAAAAGUUCCGAUCUCUCUCUCCCAAAAAGCCUUCAUCAGUUCGCCGGAGAUUACGAGGAAGACAAAGCACCAUCGGCGGCACCGAUCCAAGCGUUGGAACCAGCUGAGGCCUGUCCGUAGUUGCCAUAAGCUCUUGAGAGAGGAGGUAGAGUUGCAUUUCGACCGCAGUCUUUGACGUAUUUUUCCAUUUCAGUAACUAUUAUUGUUAUUUAAACAGUGUUUUUAUUUCGUAUUUUUAGAGUUGUAUUUCUAGUGUUUUUAUUGACUGUUCUUGGGAUGUUAUGUAUUGACAAAGUAUAUUUAUGA